ACUUUACAAGAAUGCAAACUUGUGUAAGAAAAGUCAGAAGUCACCCAAAGACUGCCAUUCUGGGAUAAGGUCUCCUUGCCAUGAGAUAUGAACAAGAAAAAGAAGCUUUAGAGCACAGUGUUGGUCCUCAAGGAGCUUGCAGUCUGGUUAGACAGAAAGAGAGGUUUUCUUCAGACAAUGUCUUUCUUACUAUGAGUUGUGUGAUGACUCAGCUCCCACCUCUUCAUUCAAACCACUGUGAAACUAUCCUUUAUACACUU